rnacentral:rRNA from 2 species
CCUGGCGGCCGUAGCGCGGUGGUCCCACCUGACCCCAUGCCGAACUCAGAAGUGAAACGCCGUAGCGCCGAUGGUAGUGUGGGGUCUCCCCAUGUG